CCUGGUUCCAGGCCAUCAGCUCGCGGUGCUCGGUGGCGUACUUCAGGGCCUUGCGCUCCGCCAGAACCCCGGCUCGGGCCUCGUACGCCUUCCUCCGCACCUCGGACACGAACUCCUUCCUGGGUGCAGACGCGGCAGUCCCCACCUGGCCUCCCAGAGCUGGACGCUCCCCCGCCUCCCCUAGAAGCCUGAGGAUCCAGCGGGUGUGGGGAUCUCCAGCUCCCUUGGGCAUGCCCUCUGGUCCACACUAAACAAGCCUGACGCAUGGAAACCAGAGCCCGUACACAUAAAUCAGGCGGUAAGACUUUGCCUCAUAGGAACUUACUACUUUCUUCUUUAGUUAUCGUGCUCUCCUGAUGCACUUUAAAUAUGUUUGAUUUGCAAAAUAGUAACAAACUAUUUCCCCACGCCUGCUUUCUGCUAUGUCUUGGGGAGCUCUGCAGUCCCUGAGAUGUUCCUAGUGCACAUGUCAGUGACCACCUGGUCCUCUUAGCCUUGUUGUCUAUUUGCCUGAGGUUGCAUCCCUCACCUCUUUCCACUGGCCCAGGGUCUGUCCAUUUCAAGACAGUCAUUGGCUCAAUUAUCUCCUUCUACUCUACUAGUGACUUCAGUCUUUAACCUAAGUGUUUUAUAAAUUGUCUAGAAUCCUCCUGGGAAAUAGGAAGGAUAGCAGACAGCACCCUGCUGUGUGCAGUAGGGGCACUGAGAAAUGAUUGGUGGUGCUGUGGCAGGGGGCAUUCUCAGUGGUGUUUCAUUCUCCCCACCCUCCCUGCAUCUACCCCUAAGCCACAAUGGCCACUGAUGACCAGUGGCUGGUCUUGAUGCUGGGGACCUUUCAUCCCACUCAUAGUAGUGUCUGUGCCAGAUGUCGCUUCCUGCGAAGAGACCACCACGCCAUGGUCCUGCCCUCCCAGGGCAUGCUGUCUUCCAGGUGAGCCAGGGCAUCACUUGGGAGGCCAUAGGUAGCCUGGGCUGGGCUGCCUGCUGCAGUGCCCAGGGCCCUUCCUUAGAAGGGAACUGAUGCUGUCCUCCCUACCCCGACUUCAGGCUCCAGGGGGGUGGGGGAGCCCCCAGCCAUCACUUUCUUCCUCCCAAUCAGGCUGGGAGACACCCACCUGGGGGCCUAAGGGCAUUCUGAGGAUCCUGGGCUGAGCUGAGGGCUCGCUUUCCUCCAGCGUACCAGCCAUGGGACCAGUGCUGAGCCUCUGAGGGUCCAGGGUGAGCAGUCAGCAGCAUCAGGAGCAGGAGGAGGCCUCGCCUGGAACUGGCCAUGGCUGCUCUAAUGGACAGGGUACAGCAUUCAAGGAGCCUUACCUCACCCCUACAUCCCACCCCCCUUCCUACAGGGCCACCUUGGAAAACUGGCAUCCCAGGGGCAGCUUUGGUAUCUCCUUAUGCCCUUCCCUCUCUGCCACGGCUCUUCAUCCCAAGCACACAGGGGUCCAGAUCCUGGGGGAUCCUGGCCCAGCAGGGGACGAUGCUCCAGGGGACCAGCCUUCUCCCUGAGCCUGGGACACACAGGCUACCUGCCUUGCCAACUCUGAGGGCCCUCCCACUUGUCCAAGCCCAUCCAUCCUUCCUUCAAGGAGUUUCCAGAAGUGGAAGAAAGUUGGAGGGGAACAGAGACCUGAAUUCAGGCCAAUGGAUGGGAGGACAGAUGGAUGGUCAGGGGAGUUCUCAAUAUAGGGGCGUCUGGAGCACCAGUGCUAGGCCACAGAGUGGCAGGCCUUCCGCCCUUUUCUCUGUGGCCUGCUGUCUCUCUUUCAUAGUAGUUGGGGAUGUGGAAUGGAUGUGUGGUGUUGAUGGGGGCAAAUGCUUCUACCCCUUAUCCCUCCCAUGCCAGGGGCAGCAAGCACAAUAGAUGGUAGAGCUGUUGCGGAGAGGAGAGGAAAAGGGGACUUUUCUGGCAUGGUUCAGGGGUGGAGGUGCUUGGGAAUGGGGAAAAGGAGCAGCAUACCAUGGACCCAGGAUGAAGCUCGAUCCAGGUGCCCCAGCCCUUAGGGAAGGCUCCCCACUCACCGAGGAAGAGCUGUGGAUGAGAUGGCUCCUUCAGGCGGCUGCAGGACCUUAGCCUGAUGGCCCCAGGAUUUAUAGACCAGGCAGCUCCACCCCCAGACUCCAGUGACGUCUUGAGAGGGGAGGGGGAGAAGCUUACUACCCAUCCCCCUUUCCAGAGCAUCCACUCCACGAACAUUCACCAGGCAGCUGCUGCCCUGAGGCCACCAACAGAUGCUCCCUCGCCACCACCUUCCCAGGAGCCUCCAGGCCCCAGACUCCUGCUUCUGGCUGGCCCAUGUCCUGGUCUUGCCUUCUUACUUGCCAGGCUGCAUCUUCAAGCUCCUCAUCUUGAGACCUAGAAAGCCCUCACAGCCCUCCCUGACACCAAAAGACCGUCCUGGGCAGGGGAAAUGCCUGGGGGUUCCCCAACUCUCAGGGCAUUCCCUGGUGGACAGUGGAGGCCUAAGAGUAGGGAGCCUGGCAGGCUGUUCAGAGGUACAGGGGAGGCUGUGACCACUGUCCCAGAGGGCUUGUUUGCUCACUAUAGAGUGGGUUGGGUGGGACAAUCCACAUCCACAUACCUGGGAACCAGGGCUGGGUCACUCCAGAUGGCUGAAUUUGGGUGGGGCAGUACCUACCCAGGAGUGGCUUCUCUCCUGGUGAAGAAGCGGACCCAUGAGAUGGGGCCCAGCUGUUGGGCCAGUGCAGCCUCCCAGGGCCAUCAGCAACCAGUAGAAUAAUUUUGUUCCUCAAGGCUCUAACCCCUCCCCAGUCAUGGAUUUAGACACAACUAGCCUGGCUGCUGGAAGUGGGCUCUUGCCUCCCAGUCUGCGUCAGCAGCUCAGCUUUCCCUGGCUAGCCAUCAGCCUCUGGGGGUCAGAGGCCUAUUUACAGGGUUAAUAGCCAAUCUCCGUGCUUGGGCUGAACAGCAUAUGGGAGGGCCAGGGUCAGGCUUGGCAUUGUGGUGGACAGAGUCAUUAGGAGAGCUGGUGCGUCAAAUCCUGUGACAAAGAUGGGGAAGGGGAGGCAUAAUGGGCAUCAGUCAGCCCUAGACACCUGGACUUCAGCAGCCAAGGCAGGAUGGGCACACCUGUGAAUUUCCAGACUGACUUAUUAGCAGGGACCUGAAAUGAAUGUGUGGCCUGUAUGUUCAGUUAAAUUGUUUUGGCUUAAAGACACAGACUUUGUUAACCGGGUGAUUUUUAGGAAAACAUUUGCUUUGUGGUUUAGUGAAAAUGAAUCUAAGUUCAAUGUACUAGUUUAGUUCUGCUUGGGGUUUACAGAACGUUUUAUUCAAAGCUGGUGUUCAUUUAAAAGGGGGAUGGGUGCCUUUAUUUAUUCUGUAAUUUGAUUGUUUUUUUCCUGAAAAAUCUAAACCAGAGCUAAGCUUCCUGGGGAAAGCUCUGCUUUCCUUUUUUUUCUGGCAACAUACUUAGCUUUUUAGAAAUGUUUGAUGUCCUUUCUAGACUAGAACUCUGGACUCUUGUAUCCCUCUCAUUAGAACAUAGAAAGCCAUCUGUUCACCAUGGGGCGCCAGUCCUUAGGAUAUGAAGUCACUGCAGCCCGGAGCUGUGCGUACUCAGGUGGGAAAGCAGAGGUUCAGAGGUGAAUAAACACUCAGGUGCUGCAGGAGCACAGAGGGGCACAAACUGAGCAGGCGACCUGGGUGAAGGACAGAGACAAGUGAGCUGGAGUCAUGGACGCAGGGAGUGGCAGCGGAGGGGUGCAGCGUAAGGAACAAAAUGGAAAAGGGCCAGCAGGAACUGCUGCGGAUCCAUGGGGCCAGAGAAUGUGGGAGGGUUAGAGGAAAGGAGGGUGGGCCCCUGGGUGUGGGCAGUGGGAGGCAGGCAUCUCUGGACAACGCUGACAUGCGACCAGGCUAUGGGGGACUUGGGAUUGGAGGCGAGCUGAGGGUCCACAGAGACAGACCCAGAAUCCUGACCUCUGAGAGAAGAGACAGUGGAGGAGCAGCUAAAGGGUGAGGAUAAGAGGCAGAGGACAGCCUGUGACACAAGGGAAGAGACCAUGGAUCCCUGGGGUUUAGCACCAAGGUGACCUUGGUGAG